rnacentral:rRNA from 2 species
UACGGAGGGUGCAAGCGUUGUCCGGAUUUAUUGGGUUUAAAGGGUGCGUAGGCGGUUAACUAAGUCAGUGGUGAAAGGCAGCAGCUUAACUGUUAGCACUGCCAUUGAUACUGGUUGACUUGAGUACAGACGAGGUAGGCGGAAUUUAUGGUGUAGCGGUGAAAUGCAUAGAUACCAUAAAGAACACCGAUUGCGAAGGCAGCUUACUAGACUGUAACUGACGCUGAGGCACGAAAGCGUGGGGAUCGAACAGG